GGGAAAUUAGGGUUUUUACUUGUGACGAAUUAGCUUCUCUCGUGAAACUCAGAAACUCUCUUCUCCUUCACGUGCGGCGGCCGGGCCUCCCUCAUCUCUCGCUCUGGCUUCUCUCCGAUCUCAAUCUCUCUUCCUCACGAAUGAAACGGCGCGAUUCUCUUCCUCUUCCCCGACGAGUUUUCUUCUUCGCCGUGAGAUCACCGUCCGGACACGCUUUCGUCACUUUGCCAUACUCUUAUCUCUCUCGAUCCCUCUCACAUACAUGGCUAACAACGAACAAGCUCGGAGAACGGCGAUUCGUCCAUCGCGGCAAAGACUAAUGAAAUCCAGAAACUCCUCGACGAGAUAGUGCGAAGAUUGAAGUGUGUAGAUGAAUUGAUGAUGAUGUUGCAGAAAGAGUGUGAAGGGAUCGAAGACGUUUGCAGAGAAGAGGCUGAAGAAGCUGAAGAUAGGGUGGCGAUGGAGAAUGAUGAGGAUGAAGGUCGAUGGAUGGGAGAAGAGAAUUUACAGAGUGAAUUUGAGAUGAAGGUGGAAGAAAAUGGAGGGAAUCCAGGAGAGAUUGAAGGUGAAGUGAAUUAUGGAGAAGAUUGAAAAUGGUGGAUGAAAUAGGAGGUGAAGAAGAUUUGUGGAGAAUUGAAGAUGAAGUUGAUUGUGGAGAGUGGUGAAGAUCAAUGAAGAAAAAUGGUGGAGGAUCCAAGAAAGUGAAGACCUGAGCAUAUAUAUAGGUUCGUGUAGAAACUUGGUGAAAUGUGGCUAGCACCAUAAUGAAGAUGAAACAGAAUGGACUUGAAGGAUUUGCUUGCGGUUCGAAGACGAAAUGGUGCAUUUGAGGAGGACUUUGAAACCUUUUUUAUGUGUAGUUCUUUUUGUAAUUUGAACAUAAUGAUCUCAGCUUGAAUUUGUAAAUAAAGUAGGCUUUUUGUAAUGAUUUUCUAUUUUCCAUGGGCUUGUAAUAAUUGGGGACCUUGGUAAUGGAUUUUGUAAAAUUUGAA